GAUAAAAUACGUCUCAAAAUAGAUGGACCAACAUUGUUGAAACAUUUAAAUGCUACACAUUAGGAACCCAACUAUGAUGCAUUUAUUAUAUAAUUCAUUGAACCACACGUUUGUUUACAGAAUGUACACAACAGUCGUCACAUGACAUUUAAGGGAUAAAACACAUGGUGUCUUUUUUGCAUGCAUGUUUUAUCAUUUCAGAUGAUUGCACCAUCAGAAUGGAAGAAGUCGACCCUGCCAUAUACACAGCGUUGGAGAGUUGAGACCGUCCAUCAUGAACUCUGACGCGUUGAGGCCGCCUUUGAGAGUCUCGCCGCCCUCCGCCAGGGUGUCCAUCUCCGAGAGGUUGAAGGAGAAGACGCUGCGGUAGUUGCAAGCGGGGCUGGAAGACGGCAGACAUUCCAGAUCCCCGGCCACGGACUUGUACAGGGUUUCCCAGUCGGGGAGGCAGAGAGGCCCGCUCAGGUCCAAGAUGUCGGGGACGAAGGCCGCCCCGGCCGCCUCGGACGUCAGCGCCUCCAUCUCCAGGCUGGGCACCAAGUCGUCCAAGUCGUCCUUCAGGUCCGCCAGGGACGCUUCGUCGGCGCUGGAGCACAGGAGGAUGUCGGAGUCGCCCAAGAUGGCUGCAGCCGGGAUGCAGGGCUCCGGCUCUUGACCCGUGCUGCAUUCAGGCGACAUCAUCUGCGGAGAAUCCGGUGCCUCCUGCAUCGUCGCAUCCUCCUCGUCCCGCUCUGUGGCAGGCUGGAGCUGGCAGGAAUCGUGCGAGGCCAAGACCUGCUCCAGCCUCUCCUUCUCCUUCAGGAGCUCUUCUAUCUCCGACUGCAGACCCGACUUCUCCUCCUCUAACUGCUGCUGAUGAGAGCGAGUCCUGCAUGCUGCACCCAGGGGUGUCCCCGCCGGGCGAUGCUGUGCUGCAGCUGGGCGAUGACGACGACGACGAGUCGAACUCGGCGCUGGAAUCCGGGUGCAUUAUUAUCACUUAUAAUUGUUUCUCUAGAAAAAUAAGAACAAAUCACAGCAUUUGAAAAAAAAACUCACUUAUCUUCCAUUUGCCAGCUUGAUAUUGAAUGGUAGGGAGUGGGGAGGGGGACCCGCCUUUUAUAGUGAGCUGCAUUUUUAUGAAUGAAAUGUGGGAGAGCGAACCAUUCUGCACAAAAAAGGGGGGGUGGGGAAAUAGGAAAACAUAGGUGAUCUUCUCUUUUUAGCGAAUUAAUAAUAUACAAAAUAACCACAUAAUAAUACAUUGUGUCCUAUCUUGUUGUGCGACGCACGUGGGAAUGGAAUAUGCGUAUAUGAGACGACGACCCCCCCUGCGUGGAAGGUGUCCCUCUGCACGUACGUCACGUCAUGCAUGCAACAUCUGCAUCAUAUACAUCAUGCACCAUUGUCUCGUCACGCUGCAGCGUGGAAGAGCUCUAAUCACGCCAUUUUUUUGCCGAUCAACCAUGGCACGUGAGACGUUUGGCGGGAUUAUUUCGUGAGGCGACGAAAGGGGUGGGGUGGGGGGGGGGGGGUAUAAUCCACUACUGUCUCACCUGCCGCAUGCGUGUAAAAAUAGACCUCCAGCAACAGACAAAAAAAAACAACCAAUAGCCAAAUGGACACCACUGACCAUGUAAGGCACUUCCGGCGAGCAGGGGUGCAAGCAGGGCCGGCCCGUGGCAUAGGCCGUAUAGGCAAAUGCUAAGGGCGCCGUCCAUCAGGGGGCGCCACGCCAGUGCCACAAAUGUUGGAGAAAAAAACAAAACAAAAAGAAAAGUUGGUACUAUUAUUUCUAAAUACAAAAAAUAAUCCCAUGUUAAUUAAAAUGCAAAGUAAAGCCUAUUUAAUAGAAAUAUUAUUUGUUACAACAUUACGCCCCCCCUCCCUUCCCGUAUCAUGACUCUUUUUGGACGUCACCUCAUCAAAAAAUCAACACAAGAUGUCAAAACGGCCAAAACUGUCAGGUGCCCAGGGAAGAAAAAAUAGAAAAGAAGAGGAGGAGAAACGAGAAAAAGACAGAGGUAGCAGGUAGGUAACGUUAGCCUACAUGGAAUUAUUUGUCUGUUACAGAAUGUGAUAGUAACCUGGCUUUUUAGCAUUAAGCUAAUGUUACAUGAUUCGACAAUUGCUAAUCAAUAAAUAGCUGGUUCUGUUUUAACGUCGGGUUAACAUUGUGGAGGGGGCUAAAUUGUUAUGGAAAAUAAUAAUGUAACGUUAGGUAAUUACAGUACUCCCACCUUACAUUCCUCAGAGACAUUUGUAUUAGAACUUUUAAGCAGGUGUUUUUUGUUUACAUUGUUAUUGCCUUCUGGUUAGCUAAUGUUUGACCUGCAGGUAAUAGUCACUUUUCCACCCAUUUAUAUAUUAGGUAUUGUUGUAAGUCUAGUUGUUAAAGUGCACAUCAUUAAUGUUAAUUAAGCAAUAUUACAUGAGAGGGAAUGCUGUUUUUUAAUUUGAGCACUGCUGUGAUUCGGUUAAAGAUAAUCAUAACAUAACAUUCUCAUAUAAUAUUUUAUACUGUUACUUUGCAUUCUGCUAUUCAGCAUUUCACUGUAAUGAUGACAAUAAAUUGAUUGUUAGAUAUUCAUUUUUUAUUUUUUGUAUUCAUUUAUUUAUUCAAUUUUUUUAUCUUGUUAACUAUUCUGAUUGUUAAUUUGCUUUCUUUAAGUAAAAAAAAAAGGUCAAAGACAAAGCUAUUCGGUUUUUUGUGAGUAUAUACACUUAACUGCCGAUGUGGGGGGGCGCCACCUAAAAUCUUGCCUAGGGCGCCAGAUUGGUCAGGGCCGGGCCUGGGUGCAAGGCAGCU